AUCAACGCGUUAUACAAUCUAAUCUGCAACCACCAAAAUGAAGACUAUCUCUCUCAUUUGCUGCAUUCUCCUGGCUUUCCUUCUUUUCUCUUCCCCUUCAAUUAUGGCUCGUGAAUUGGCUGCUCAUCAUGAUCAUGAGGCCGAUGGAAAAUCGUGCGGAAGCCCGAAUGAUCCCCAAUAUGAUACUUGCAUAGGGAAACAGAAGACCAAGCCCUGCUCAAAAGCAACUUAUACGCGUUGCGAUCGGCCACCGGCUCAAGGCUAGGAACAACUUGAAUAAGCACAGCUUUUAAUGGUGUAAUGAAAUUAGUAUGAUUAAAAUAAUAAAAGUUAUAAGUACUACUGGCAUUAACGAUACUUCUCAUGAUCAUGAUGAUGAUCGAUGAUCAUGAGAAGAACGUAUCAUGUACGUACAAGUUUGAGAAUAAAUAGGGUUUAGUUCGAUACCGUAUCAUCAUGUAAUGCAUGGAUCCGCUCGAUCGAACUUCCUUUGCAGUGUGUCAAUAAAAUUAAGAAUGUCUGACCGACUUAGUUUUGGUCAGCUAGCUUGUUUAAUUUCU